UCCUAAAUAUGCGCGAACUACACCAUUUUAAACCCGGGAGUUUUUAGCAGCAGCAUGGUUAAGCACAUUGCCUUAGCUGCAAUUUGUUGAGUGCAUAGGGGAGAGUGGGGCUAAAUGGACGAAAUUUUUGGGGACAUAACAUUUAUCAAAUAGAUGCUAACUAGUUAAAAUAUCAUAUUUGGGAUCUCGCUAAUGAUUAGCCCAAUAGGGACGCAUGCUUCGGAUGUAACGAUUCACCGAUACUCAUCGGUCCCCGACUCAAAUGUUUACGUGUAUCAGUCCGCGGACCCAAACAGCAUGCGUUGGUCAGAAAAUUGAUUCAAAACAUCAGUGACAACUGAUGCGCCUUCUCCUUUAGUGUCAAACUGCAUGUAACGGUGUUGAUUCAUUGAUCUACAAGUCAUUUUGCUUGCCGAACCACCCCAGGCAAUAUCAGUAGCCUACUCAAACCGCGCACUCUUCUCAGCUUCACGAGGUCCACCUCCUUCCCCAGCAGGUCGUAAAGCGACGCUCCUUUAGACGUGAUCUCCGAGGCCAGCUGUCUCGCUGCCUUCAGGUCUGCAAUCUGGAUCACAGACAAGAGAAGGAGAAUUCAGAGGGAAAAGCCUGGAAAAGUACAUUUGAAAACACUAACACGUAAUACAGACAAUAACAUUGCUUGACGAUAAGAGUUGUUUUCCUUUCCUUUUUUGUGUGCAAUUUUCAUGGUGGUGUCACCAGCCACAUCAUCAAUAACUAAAUAUAUUGUAAUAGUGGGGAAAAACACCAAGGGCCCAGAUUCACAAAACACUUCUUUACGCAAAAAACAUAAGUAAAAGGAAAAAAAGUUCAUAAGAUAGUUCGUAAGUGUAAUUCAUCAACAAUAUCUUAAGAUUUAAUGAUUUUCUUAUGAACUUUUCAAACAUCUUCUUACGAAUGUUUGUUGCAAGGCAACCAUUUUAGCUAUCUAGCUAGCAAUCAUGUUAGCAUAUUUCGUACUGAAAUUACUGUUCUAAAACAUGUUCUUGGGUUUAAAAUAAUCAAUAAUGCAAUGUAUCGUUCUGCAACAUAAGCAUAAAGCGCCAGGUAAGUGUGGGGAUAUCCAACCCUUGUCAUAUGAUGAAGCUGUAAAGUCUCAAAGUAACACUUUGCUUGUUUGCAAUGUAUGCCAUUUAAACAUAGUGCCAAACAUUGGGAUGCCGGACACAAGCAGGGAUGAUGAGUGCAAUCUAGAUGAGAUUGUUGAUGUGUCAGCAGUGGGCACAGAAAAUGACAUGUUUGACUGUUUCAAUCGGAGAGGACUUCACUUUAUUCAUGUCAACACAUGGAGCCUGCUGCCGAAAUUAGAGGAAUUAAAGCUCCUCGCUUCUAACACCUGGGCUGCAGUAGUUGCUGUGACUGAGACAUGGCUCGACGGGUCAAUUGAGGACAAUGAGGUUGAGCUACCUGGUUAUAGCAUUCAUAGAAUUGACUGAAAUGGUGGCGGCAUGUGCGUUUUAAUGAUGUGCAUUUUAAUCCUCAUUCAGAUCUAAAUGUCGUAAUAUAGUUGUUGGUGUGUGCUAUUGGACUCCUAAGCAGAAUCAUUUCUAUAAUUACUUGAAUCAAAUUGCUGUGAUCACAAUGUAUUUGCUGAUAGAGAAUAUAUUCUGCUUGGUGAUUGUAAUACAAAUGUGCAGUUAUCACCCAAGAAAUGUACACUAGUAAAUGCCCUGUAUAACUGAAACAACUGAUUAUUGAGCCAACCCGGGUGUGUAGAAAGUAAGUCAACUUAGGU